GCGCGCAUGGCGCAGUGGCUAACACUGCUGCCUGCCGAUUUUGAGGUCGCGGGUUCGAUCCCCAUUGGGGUCA